AGCCCACACCAUAAUUCCUUCUCCACCAAAUUUCACACUUGGCACAAUGCAGUCCCAAAUGUACCGUUGCCCUGGCAACCUCCAAACCCAGACUCGUCUAUCAGAUUUCCAGAUGUAACAGUGUAAUUCAUCACUCCAGAGAUGGCGUCUCCACUGCUCUAGAGUCCAGUGGCGGCGUGCUUUCCUCCACUGCAUCCGACGCUUUGCGUUGCACUUGGUGAUGUGUGGCUUGGAUGCAGCUGCUCGGCCAUGGACACCCAUUCCAUGACUAGGGUUGCGUACAGAAACUGUACCAUACAAAACCGCAGUGGCGUUGCAAUAGCGUGGACCCAGCAUACACUGCUUUGUUUUGAUGUGGUCUAAUAAGACCAUCUGUCUUUUCUCACUGCUUUUCGUGCGCCAGUGUGCAGGGGAGGGCCAUAGACAUAUGUAUUACUGGACAGAGCAUCUCAGUCGUCACCCAUUGACCUCUACAGUCCCCUGCUUGAAGCCUGAAUUGUCCCCUCCAUAUUGGCUGGAGUUUACUCCGCCUGACCUGACGUUCCAAAUAUCGUGAAAAGAGGCCGGACUGAAUACUUUUGUUUUGUUUUUGUUUACGUCCACGGUAUAUGCCGAUCCGUGGUCCCUCCAUGCUAACACAGCUAACCGCUUCAGCCAAAGGUCUGCAGCAACGCAGCGGUGGACCAAUAUUUACAUCAUGAGUCUUUAUCAUUACAGUUUGGAUUACCGUUGAUGGUCAUGUCUGUCGGGCAUCAGAAAGUGAAGCUCAACAAACCGUCACAGCCACUUGGACUCGGCAUCUCCUGGUUCAGCUGGGCGGACGGCAGUGAAGCGGCCUUUUCCCAUUUUUAUUUUCAAGCCUACGAGGAAGAGCAGCUUCUCAUUAUUCCCUCUGGAGGAAGUCACAUGGUCCACGUCAGGAGUCUGGAACUGUCAGGAUGAAAGAAAGUCCAGCGGGUGCACGUUGCUCACCCCGGCACUUAAAUUCUCUCUUUUUUGUUGACAUUUUUACUGGAAGUUUUUUUAGUGGGUAGAAAUGUACUCUUUAGGAUCAAUUAUUAGGUUUUUAAAAUGUCAAGAUUAGGCAGUGUAACCAUACAUGAUGCUUUGUAACUAUGACAAUGGUCACAAUAAGCUUUUCCUCUUUUAUUCUUUUUACAUUUUGCAUAAUUUUUUACUCAACAUUAUUGAAAAACAAUUCCAUCACACCUUUGCUCUGUGGGAGACAGCCAGCAUGUCGGGUGAUUGUUUCACCCUUGUUCUAUCCUAGGCACUUUACCAUUAGGAGUUGGGUCAUCUAGACCCACUAGACAGUGCUCUGAACCUUUUUUCUUCAAUGAUUUGUGAUCUUCACUGGUGUCCAUGGAUUACAUUAAAUCUUUCCACCUUUAUCCACCUUUGUCAUGGUAGGGAGAACACGUCAAAGUAAGGGGGGGGUCAUCUAAGGGUUAAAGAAGUCCCUACUUUCUAUAAAUGUAGGAUAAAAUGUGCAGCGCUGUCAGUGAUUAAUGCUUGUGAUGUUUUAACUUAUUUGAUCUGUUUCAAAUAAAUACAUCUUGUACAGAUCUGACUUCGAUCCAUAUUUCCUUUUGUUUUUCGUCCAUAUUAAAACACAAUGUGAAUAAACAGAAGGUGACUGA